CACAGAAGUCCCAGAGGCUUCCACCAAGCGGGAAAGGCAACUAGAAAAACACCAUCUGCACUGAGUUCCCUCCAAGUUUCGGUUUUAGCUGGUUAAACCUAAUUGAGAGAAUCCUUUGAGUGGGAACGGAAGUCCCAGAUGAAGACAGCGAGGCUUGUGACAUGGAGCCAUUUGCUGAAGAGCAGAGCAGGGACAUCAGAAGAUGUGGAAGUGAUCUAUACACUGGGAUUGCCUUACCCACUGCUUCACCUUGCUGUGCCCAGAUUGGCCCUGAAUACCUGGAAGCUCUUGUCACAUUCAUAUUCCCAACAGAUGUGCAGGAAAAACCUCAAUAUGGCCCCUUUUAAAACCCUUGCCUUUGCUGUAAGUGCCCAGUGCCAGAGUGUGUGCUGAGAGCCCCUGAACUGUCACAUGGAGUGAGGUUAUCACUGAGAAUAGGCACAGGAGUUACUGGUGUCAAGAAUCCUCAAGGGCCACCUCAGAUGACUCAAACCACAACUGCAGAAAACCUCCAAGAGCUUAUCACAAUGCACUGGAAUGGUCACUACUUCGGUUGCUGACCUUGUCAAGAACAGGUGGGGCCCAGAACCACCACUAAGAUGGUGGAUGUAAGCACCAACACAUGUAUUCAGAGAUUACUGACAAAUGCAGAAGGAAGGAAGGAAAUGGGAAGUAGGAAACACCUAUAAAGCCAGCAGAUUGAAAGUAAUAGGAAAACAAACUCCAUGGAGUGGAAGGAAGUCUGCAGAGAACAGUGCUCCAAGCUGUCCUUGGCUGGCCUCAUGCUCGUCAUGGGAAGAAAGGGCACUCAGCACUUAGAAGAAAGCCCUUGCUCACCAAGGAG